UACGAAGGGGGCUAGCGUUGUUCGGAAUUACUGGGCGUAAAGGGCGCGUAGGCGGUGCAUCAAGUCAGGCGUGAAAGCCCCGGGCUCAACCUGGGAACCGCGCUUGAGACUGGUGCGCUAGAGUCCGGGAGAGGAUGGUGGAAUUCCCAGUGUAGAGGUGAAAUUCGUAGAUAUUGGGAAGAACACCGAUGGCGAAGGCAGCCAUCUGGACCGGCACUGACGCUGAGACGCGAAAGCGUGGGGAGCAAACAGG
rnacentral:rRNA from 1 species